rnacentral:tRNA from 1 species
GGCGUCGCGGGUGCACGCGCCGGGCUUCAAUUCCGGGAUG